AUAGGCAGAGCCACUAUCUAGACUUUCUGCUCACAAGUGCUCCCAGACCAAGAAGUUUCUCAGGUGUUCAGGCAGGCUUCCUGGUCAGACAGGGCUGUGAAUUGGAGCUAUGAAUUAGCUCCCCACCUGGGCAGGGUGGCAGAACUGGCUCUAAGGCCAACAAGGCUCUUUAUUGGGGAUCUUGAUUCAAGGAGAACCACAUCCCACAUUUCCUGGAUAAAUGGGGCCACCUGCUUUGCUCUGCUAAUGGGCAGCACUGCCAGCCAGGUUCUCCACUUGUGUGUUGCUGGGCUAGGCAGCUUCCCAGAUGUUCUGGGAAGUCUUCCUUGUCAGGUGGGGCCAGGACCUACACUCAACAAUGGUCAGGGCUGUCAAUUAACCCACCUGCUCAGGCAGUGCAGGAGAACCAGCUCCAAAGCCAGAACAGCUCUGUGUUUGUGGUCUUGACUGAAGCCAAACCACGCCUCAAGUUCCCUGGCCAAAGAGGACCACUGGCUUUGCUCUGCAGAUGAUCAGCUCUGCCUACCAGGCUCUGCACUCAGGAGUUGCUGGGCUGAGCAACUUCGCCCAUAGUUCCAGCCAGGUUUUCUGGUCAGGAGGGGCUGAAAGCUACACUGAGCAGUGGUUGAUGGGGUUGUUAUUUAGUUCCUCUGCCUGGGCAGAUGGGCAGCCCAGCCUCCAGGGAUGGCAAGGUUCUUUGAGGUCCCAAAUAAGGCAGAUGUGCACCCCUCUGAGUUCCUUGGUCAGACUAUGCCACCAUCUUGGCUCUACGGAUGAAAAAAGCUGCUGGUUGGGACUACUUGGGCACUGCGAGUAUGAACUCAGUCUGCCAAGAUCCGAAUGCUCGUUACUGCAAGCCCCUCCCCCCUUCUCUGUCACAAUCUGAUUCCCAGGAGUCAAGCUCCACAGAUUCCUCCAUGAGGCGAGACUGGAGUGGGACUCCCAGUAAGCAACGCACAAGGCUGGGGGAGCUGGAUGUCCACCCUGGGCUCCCUUUUCCCACUGGAGGAACCACAGGCUCAGGAGAGCCCUCUUGAUUUAAAGAACCCUCUCUCUCUCUUUCUCUCUCUCUUGUUGCAUCAUCUAUAACUCACAGCCAUUUGGUAAAAUAUGCCUUUAUAAACAAAGGUUAAAACAUUUAUCUUUUUCUCUCUACUUGAUCUUUGCAGAAUUUAAAAACACUUAUUAAAUAUUCUUAUUUUUCAUGAUAAUAUAGAUGUUUGCAUAAAUUGAAAAAUAAUCUGCUCUCCUUGUAACAGAACAGAAUUAGGCAAGUCCUUAGCAUAGCUUCUUAGCCUAAAGAGACUUUUAAAGAUCUAAUCUAAGAUUCUUUAUUACCAGAUGGUUUUAAAGAACAAUCGUUGACUUUAUGGAACCUAUAAAGUCCCUUGGAGAUUACCAAAGCUUUGACGGGAAUAUCAUAUUUGAGAAUAUGCAUAAAAGAUUAUUCUUACUACAUUUAUGUAAAUCAUCUGCCAAGUUUAUUGAGACUAGACUCAUUUUACAAACAAAGUAGUCUUACUGUGAUUAUCUUUGGCAAAAAUGAAUGACAUUAGAGAAAAAUUUGUUUCAAUAGAAAACUAUAAUGUCCCCAUGAUGAGAUUCUAGACCUGUUCAUUGUCUGAGUUUUUGUUAUAUACUUACAAACUGGACUGGAUCAUGAAUUCUUCUAGUUUCCUCCAGUAUUUGGCUGCAACUCUUCAGACUAGCUUUUCCAAUUUUCUUCUACUCUUCUGACUUGCAAUCACUAAAAAUGAAAACGACCCUUUUCCCAAAGUCCUAAAACUGAAGGUAGAUGACUUAAUAUAACCUUUAGAGAACUCGCCAUAACACGCCAUGGAUGGACACUCUUCAUGCCUGUUGCUGUGUGGGCCACUCAGACAGUUCACCAGAACACUCGUUGCCAUCAUCAAGGACAGUUAAACUGCAACCCAGGAGAACCCAUCGGAUUGAAAGUGUCAUCCUCAUUCCACCAUGUAAAGAUGCUUUGAAAUUAAAUCUAGAAGUUUUCUCAACUGGCUGCAUUCUGGACUCAAAAACUGUUUGUAAUUUGCUGCCACUAUGAACCUUUGUUUUUCUCUUGUUUCCACAGAUUGCUUUUAUUAGAUGCCAGAUUUCUCACACCAUUUAGAGGCCUAACUCAGGUGGAAGCUACCUGCAAUACUGCCUCCUGAAAUGACAUCCUCAUGUUUAUCGUGUUCUAUGUAAACAUGAGUAUAUGUUAUUGCUAAUAUAGCACACUGUGCCUAUGUAAAUAACUCAAAAAUGAAAUCCAAUUACACAUUAUCAAAAAAAUGCAGAUUGGCUUAGAAAGGUAAAACCUGAAUCUGAUUAUAACUUAUUUGAUUUUUUUAGUUGGUAACACCUUGGCUCCUGGGAAUCUCUGUUCUUGGGAACUUUUAAUCCUUGGCUAUUAUUCUCCCU
rnacentral:lncRNA from 1 species